UCUCCGUAGGUGAACCUGCGGAGGGAUCAUUACAGAGUUCAUGCCCUAACGGGUAGAUCUCCCACCCUAUGUUAUCAUCACUUUGUUGCUUUGGCGGGCCGCCAGGCCUCGGCUUGGCUACCGGCUCUCGCUGGUAAGCGCCCGCCAGAGAACCCCAAACCCUGAAUAUCAGUGUCGUCUGAGUACUAUAUAAUAGUUAAAACUUUCAACAACGGAUCUCUUGGUUCUG
rnacentral:misc_RNA from 1 species